ensembl:lncRNA
AAAGAGACUUCAGCAAUGAGGAAGUCCAGCUCCCAGUUGUUUGAAAUUGGAAACUGAGCUCCAGAGAGAUUAAGAUAAAGUGUCCAUUUUUACACAGGAAGUUAUCAAAAGAGCCACGGUCAAAUCUGGGUCUUCUGAUACUUAAAGCUGUGCUCUUCCUAAUACUAAAUGCUGCCUCCUUUGAGGCAUUUAAAUCUCUGUAAUCUAGAUCCAUUUCUAUGCCAACAUCGGUAAAUCACAAAUGAUUAGAAAAAAGGUGGCAGACUCAAACACCAACUCAUGCUUUUUAAUUUGAGUGGUUUUCUAGGUUCAUCUGAAAUAAAACAAAACAAUAUUUUUUAAAACUCCUUCCUGUUUACAAAAUUGAGAAUUCCUUCUUGACACUGGUGUUCAUGUUCUAUGUACUUUCCAAAUACGGAGAUCCUAAAAUACGGGCUGGCUGAACUUUUAAAUAUAAAGAAAGUCUUGCAGUUGAGAAUACUCUCCAACCAAAUGAGUUCAGUCUGCUUUCUGCUUCUGAGAUCUGGGUCUAAGGGGAUUAUUUUCAAAGAUGAGCAGGAGACUAAAGAGAAAGACAGGCUUCCUGUUACCUACCUUGAGUUUGAGAGUCUUGAAAACCUUGUGUGUAGCAUUGCAAAGCUGCCCUGGAACAUGAAAAAUACAGCCUCUUCUCACCAGUGCUGAAGGAGGCUUCUUCCGACUCCAGCUUGAAUGUUUCUCAAGACGGUCAGUUAAGUGAAACCAUCUUUUCCAAAAGCUUGAGUAAACCUGAGAACCUCCCCACCAAUGAAUUAGGUAGGAGGAAAGCGGGCCCCAGUGGCGAGUAUCAUGAAAAGAUUCAGUUCUCAGACUUGGCUGCUUAUUGGAAUUAUUUGAAGAGCUUUAAAAGUACUAGCUGCCCAUAAAGGUUGCAGAUAUUCAGUGCUAUUAUAGGAAUUUUCAUGAAUACGUUUGAAAAUCCUGAUCUAUGGAUUGAAUUCCUGUUUUGAUUAAUUGAUUUGUAAACCUCUGUCCCUUUUGUGACUCUGUUCUGCCUUUUGGGAUUGGAGUUUCAUUGUUUACCCAGAUGCACAGAUACUUCCUGGUGAGUUAGAAUGCAUUUCCUCUACUAUAACAUUUCUCAACCCUGCACAUUGAGAAUCAUUUGGGGAGAUUAAGAUGAAAAAAAAAAAAAAAAAACUGGUGGGAAUUGGUCAGGGGUUGAACCAGGGCUUAAGCAUUUUUGUAAACCUCCCCAUAGUAGCCAGCCUCCAAGAUGGCCCCCACUGGACCCACCUGUUUGUACUUGCAUCUUCAUUUAGCACUCCCACUCCCACAUGGUGCCAAGGCUGUUCUACAUGACCAAUAAAAUAGUGCAGACGUGAUGAUAUGAUUAGGUUAUAAAAGACACUGCAGUUUCCAUCUUAAUGUUCUACCUCCCUCUCAGAUCAUUUGCUUUGGAAAAGCCAACUGCCAAGUCAUAAGCAGCCCUGUGGCGAACCCUACAUGGUGUGGAACUGAGACCUUGUGCCAACAGCCAGGUGAGUGAGCUUGCAAGACAAUUCUCCAGCUGUAUAAAGCCUUUGAAUGACUGCAGCCUGGUCGACAUCUUGACUGCAACCACAUGAGAGACCCUGAGCCAGAAUCACCCAACUAAACAGUUCCCAGCCUCUUUGAAAUUGGACUGUGAUGAUCAUAGAAGAGAAAGCAGGAGUGCAAAGAAUUUGGACAGCCAGCACAGUAUUGAUUACUUUGGAAGAAACAAAGACUUCUACAGAAAUUGCUUCAUACAGGUUCAGAACAAAAUGAUUCUGCUUUAACCAAGUGCCUAUGUAAGUUCCAGAUUUUGUAAAUAUUGGCCCUGAAGCAAUAAGCAAUAUACCUGUGCAGAAGUCACUGGACAGGACAAUGGGGCUCAGAGUUUGAGAAAAGAAGAAUGAAGCCUGGAUGAGAACCGUCUCUUUUGCCCCUCUGUUGGAGGAUUGACCCAAGUUCUUUAUUGCAGAAUUGUAAAUAAAUAUAUCCAUUAAAAUCCAUCUCUAAAUUUAAAAUACAUCUCUAAAUGUAUAUUAUAAAUUGGUUAUGGACUAAGAGAAUGGUUUGAAACACACUCAAACCAAUCCUUUCGUCAUCUUCCUAAAGUCUUGAGUUUAAGAAUCCACAUUAGGCAUUUUUAUAGAAGGAAAAAUACCCUUGAUUCUUGCUCUUAUAGAAGACAAUCAGACAAGGAGCCCUCCUUAGAACACUUUGUCAAAGAAAAGCUUAUUUUU